rnacentral:rRNA from 1 species
AUUGAACGCUGGCGGCAGGCUUAACACAUGCAAGUCGAGCGGGGGAAAGUACUUCGGUACUGACCUUAGCGGCGGACGGGUGAGUAACACGUGGGCAACCUGCCUUAUAGAGGGGGAUAGCCUUCCGAAAGGAAGAUUAAUACCGCAUAACAUCAGAUUAUCGCAUGGUAGACUGAUCAACGGAGCAAUCCGCUAUAAGAUGGGCCCGCGUCGCAUUAGCUAGUUGGUGAGGUAACGGCUCACCAAGGCGACGAUGCGUAGCCGACCUGAGGGGGUGAGCGGCCACAUUGCGACGGAGACACGGCCCAGACUCCUACGGGAGGCAGCAGUGGGGAAUAUUGCACAAUGGGGGAAACCUUGAUGCAGCAACGCCGCGUGAGUGAUGAAGGCCUUCGGAUUGUAAAGCUCUUUGAUCAGGGACGAUAAUGACGGUACCUGAAGAACAAGCCACGGCUAACUACGUGCCAGCCGCCGCAGUAAUAC